UGACCGACUUUAGCCCAACCGGGCCGAAGUUCUGCCGAAGAGCCGGAAAAGCCGAAUUUAGACGAAAAGCCGAACCGAAACGAUUUUAGACCUAAGCCGAACCAAGCCUAAUUUAGCCGAGUUUAUUUAAACAGAACCGAACGACGCCGCAGCGCUCUGCCUGCACAGCGCCGGUGCAGACGGCAGGGGGCGGUGUAUAAAGGUGCUCAGAAAGCAUGCGUCCCUUAGAGUCCCACGGAAAGGUUCUCAGUGCGCUCUCUAUCAAGUGCUAUGAGUCUUGAUAAAUUGGAGAAGAGCCCAAGAGAAAUUUUUCAUCCCUUGAUAUAAAAGGGAUCGGUGAAUUUUAACUUUGGAGUCCUCUGUGCUAAGGAUGCUCAGCUUACCGAUGAUGAAAUGUUCAGUAAUGUAUUUGCUGCAGCUCUGCUUACCCAAGCUUUGGGUUCCUUCUGUCCCACUGGGAGUGGCCCAAUUUGGUUGCAUCUGGUGAAAUUCACCCUGAGACCUUACAGAACCAGCUCCAACUACGUGAGAGCCAUUUGCAGUUCUCUCCAGACGCCUGGAGAAUGGGCGACGUUUCUGAGGAUCCGGCGAGCGUGCUUCUGUCAAAACUCAGUCUGUGAAGUUUCUGGGGAAAACCCUUCUGUGUCCUGAAGGGUUCAAACUCUGGUGAGGAUCCAGUUAUCAGGUGCUCACCUGGAUGGUUCCGGCUCCCAAAGGGAAAGACUCUCGUAUCCUUGUCGUCGGUCUCGGUGCUGUCCAAGAAGAUACAGAGACUAAAAAAAUCAUAAGAAGCAAAAUAUGACUGCAGGGAAAAGAAGCUGGAGAGAACAAAAGGUGAUGUUGUUAUCCUUACCCUGUAUU